AUGUGAUCGUCUCUCGCAUAUCAAUAAGCGGAGGAAAAGAAACUAACAAGGAUUCCCCUAGUAACGGCGAGUGAAGCGGGAAGAGCUCAAAUUUGAAAUCUUAAAGGGUUUCCCUUUACGAAUUGUAGUUUAAAGAAGUGUUUUCUGUUGAGGUUUUGGUAAAGUUCUUUGGAAUAGGACAUCAUAGAGGGUGAGAAUCCCGUAUUUGACCUUUACUUUCAACUUUGUGAUACACUUUCAAAGAGUCGGAUUGUUUGGGAAUGCAGUCCAAAAUGGGUGGUAAAUUUCAUCUAAAGCUAAAUAUUGGCGAGAGACCGAUAGCGAACAAGUACCGUGAGGGAAAGAUGAAAAGAACUUUGAAAAGAGAGUUAAACAGUACGUGAAAUUGUCAAAAGGGAAGCGUUUGACACCAGUGUUGUUUUUCUGAAAAUCAAUUAAAGAACUGUUUAUGCUAAGUUGUUUAGACUUUAUCAGCUAACUGUUUAGUUUUGAGCUUUUCUUUAAUGCACUUUUCAGUUAACAAGUCAACAUCAAUUUCUUUUGCUGUAAAAAAGCUUGAGGAAGGUGGCUUGAGAUUCGUCUUAAGUGUUUAUAGCCUCUUGCCUAUGCAGUCGGAGAGAUUGAGGUCUGCAGCGUAGAUCCUUCGGGGCUAAAUGCAUUUGUGCUAAGUUAUAGCAUUUUAUAGACAACUUGUUGACUAUGAUUUGUCUUGUAGCUUACUCGCUUAUGUUAUUUUACCUACGCUUAGGAUGUUGACUGAUAUGUAGUCGUA
rnacentral:rRNA from 1 species